CUGACAGCUGAUUGACAGUUUUUACUGAACGACACACACUGUACAACAGCUGAGUGUUGGUCUUCUACUCUCCAGCAGCUGCUCUGCUGAGCACGCCACAUACUGUAGACUCAAGACUUUGGAGAGCUUUCAUUUCCAGACACCGGCUGUGUUAAUCCCUCCCAGAUCUUUGCGUGCAUACAGACCUGCAGAAACAGGCCGAAAAGGGAGAUCCCACUGUGUGUUCUUUCAGGGGUGUACACCUCAUGGUACAUUGCACAGGUGUGUAAGAUGUAAGUUGCACUGCGACAUAAAAAAAAGGAACAUAUUGCUCUUUUUUAACGAUUAUAUUAGCUUACUGUUACUCUGUAAAUUAAACUGACUUAAGAAGAAAUUUAAAAAAAAAGAAAAGAAAAUGACAUUUAUUCUUCCUAAAGUAGCCUUUUAUGGUUUCAUAUAUAUGAAUAUAUAUUACAAAAAAAAUACAGAUUGUAAACCUAAGUUGUUAAAAAUUGACUUCAAUAAACGAAAUCCUCU
rnacentral:lncRNA from 1 species